GCUGGCGGCAUGCUUAACACAUGCAAGUCGAACGGUAACAGGCCCUUCGGGGCGCUGACGAGUGGCGGACGGGUGAGUAAUACGUAGGAGUCUGCCCAAUAGUGGGGGACAACCCGGGGAAACUCGGGCUAAUACCGCAUACGCCCUACGGGGGAAAGCGGGGGAUCUUCGGACCUCGCGCUACUGGAUGAGCCUACGUCGGAUUAGCUUGUUGGUGGGGUAAGGGCCUACCAAGGCGACGAUCCGUAGCUGGUCUGAGAGGACGAUCAGCCACACUGGGACUGAGACACGGCCCAGACUCCUACGGGAGGCAGCAGUGGGGAAUAUUGGACAAUGGGCGAAAGCCUGAUCCAGCAAUGCCGCGUGUGUGAAGAAGGCCUGCGGGUUGUAAAGCACUUUCAGUUGGGAGGAAAAGCAGUGGGCCAAUACCCCGCUGUCUUGACGUGACCAACAGAAGAAGCACCGGGUAACUCUGUGCCAGCAGCCGCGGUAAUACA
rnacentral:rRNA from 1 species